CGAUUUGAUCGGGAUACUCAUCAAAUAAUACUGAAAACCGAGACGACUUCUCCAGCCAAUGGCGGGCCACAUAAACCGCGUGAGCGGCCAAGCUGAAAAGCCGGUGGAUUACAACGACGGAGAGUUCUCAAAUCAUUUUUGCUCGGAGUUUCAUCACAUCAUCGG
rnacentral:sRNA from 1 species